UUACGGUCAAAUCACGCUGAAACACCGGUUCUCGUACGAUCACCGAAGUUAAGCAGCGUACUUAGAUGAGGGACCGCUUGGGAACACCUGGUACUGUAAG